CUGUGUUCUAAAUCGCGGCUGCUGAGCAGCCCUGAGGUGAGGGUGUGAGGCAGGAAGCCCUGAGCCACCCAGAAACCUGGGGGCCAUUCCAGGAGUGACCUGAGGUUCCUAGAAAUGUCCCCCACCACAGACUGUACACAGCCCUCACCCUGAAAUCAGCUGCCUGCAGGGCCGUCCUCAGUGUCAGACCAGGAGGCCACACAUGGACACUGAGGAUUCCAGAGACCCAGGCUUCUGGGGUGCAGCCCUGAAGAGAACAGAUGGGCCCGGUGAAGAUGCCGACUACUUCUGUUUCUUUUUCCAGCCAAGCUCAAGGAAGAGUCCUCGGGUGUGUCCUCUGGCAUUGGGCCCCGCUGUGAGGAGGACAGACAGACCCUCCCCACCCCACCAGCUCAGCUCCAGGAGCUCAUGCCAUCAGACCACCUGCGACAAAGUACUUGUCCUCCCACAGCCUCACCUGACAGGGCUGUCCCUAAGGCCCAGAUUGAGGGCCCUCAGCAUGAGGGGGCUCCCCAAGAACACAGAGACAGCCCAAAGACUGAAGAUAAGAACCAUCUGCCCUCCAGCAAGGUCAGACUUUACAUUCCAUGGAAAUGCAUGUCCAGGAGCUCUGUGCCACUGCUCCUCAGAGAUGUGACUGUUGGGGACCACCAUUUCCUGCAUUGCCAUUUCAAACACGGCUCUAGGGACUCUGAGGUGGCUUCUCCAGGACCCAAGACCACACGCUGCCCUGUGGGGGUCCCAGAGGCUGAAGAUGAGGGCCGCCGGUCCCCUGGCGAGGUCAGACUUUGGGAUUCAGACACAUCCUCAUCCAGUAGCUCAUCCGGGAGCUCUGUGCCACCACUCCAUGCAGACCCGCCCAUCAGGGUCCUCCGUUCCAUGCCCCGCCAUUUCAAACAUGCCUCCAGGGACUCUUUGGUGGCUUCUCCAGGACCCAAGGCCACACGCUGCCCGGUGGGGGUCCCAGAGGCUGAAGAUGAGGGCCGCCAGUCCCCUGGCGAGGUCAGGCUUUGGGAUUCACUCAAAUACUCAUUCAAAACCACACGCUGCCCUGUGGGGGUCCCACAGGCUCAAGAUGAGGGCCACCUGUCCCCGGCGAGGUCAGGCUUUGGGAUUCACGCAAAUACUCAUCCAAAACCACACACUGCCCUGUGGGGGUCCCACAGGCUCAAGAUGAGGGCCGCCUGUCCCCAGGUGAGGUCAGGCUUUGGGA
rnacentral:lncRNA from 13 species